rnacentral:rRNA from 1 species
UACGGAGGGUGCAAGCGUUAUCCGGAUUCACUGGGUUUCAAGGGUGCGUAGGUGGGCAAGUAAGUCAGUGGUGAAAUCUCCGGGCUUAACCCGGAAACUGCCAUUGAUACUAUUUGUCUUGAAUACUGUGGAGGUCAGCGGAAUAUGUCAUGUAGCGGUGAAAUGCUUAGAUAUGACAUAGAACACCAAUUGCGAAGGCAGCUGGCUACACAAAUAUUGACACUGAGGCACGAAAUCGUGGGGAUCAAACAGG